rnacentral:tRNA from 1 species
GGUUUUGGUCCCGCUAUUCGGAGGUUCGAAUUCUUCCGUCCCAG